UACGGGGGGGGCAAGCGUUGUUCGGAAUUACUGGGCGUAAAGGGCUCGUAGGUGGCCAACUAAGUCAUACGUGAAAUCCCUCGGCUUAACCGGGGAACUGCGUCUGGUACUGGAUGGCUUGAGGUUGGGAGAGGGAUGCGGAAUUCCAGGUGUAGCGGUGAAAUGCGUAGAUAUCUGGAGGAACACCGGUGGCGAAGGCGGCAUCCUGGACCAAUUCUGACACUGAGGAGCGAAAGCCAGGGGAGCAAACGGG
rnacentral:rRNA from 1 species